GCAACAAGUGGACUAGCCCUGCUUGGCUGAAUGGGGAAUUUUGCUUCCUCUACUGAAUGAAUGUGGCAACUGAUUUGGCAAUUGAAGCUUUCUAUUUCAAAUAAAUAUUCUUUGUAAUUCAGUAUCGUUUUGGAAAUAUUUUGAAUAAAUAUUCAUUGUAUU